CGCGUAGGUGGUAGUGCAAGUCUGGGGUGGAAUCCCAGGGCUUAACCCUGGAACUGCCUUGGAAACUGUAUUACUUGAGUCAGUGAGGGGAGGGUAGAAUUCCUGGUGUAGCGGUGAAAUGCGUAGAUAUCAGGAGGAAGGCCUGUGGCGAAGGCGGCCCUCUGGCGCUGAACUGACACUGAGGCGCGAAAGCGUGGGGAGCAAACAGGAUUAGAUACCCUGGUAGUCCACGCCCUAAACGGUGGGUACUAGGUGUAGGGCUCGUAAGGGUUCUGUGCCGAAGUGAAAGCAUUAAGUACCCCGCCUGGGGAGUACGGCCGCAAGGUUGAA
rnacentral:rRNA from 1 species